ACGAACGCUGGCGGCGUGCUUAACACAUGCAAGUCGAACGGAAAGGCCCUUCUUUUGUGGGGUGCUCGAGUGGCGAACGGGUGAGUAACACGUGAGUAACCUGCCCUUGACUUUGGGAUAACUUCAGGAAACUGGGGCUAAUACCGGAUAGGAGCUCCUGCUGCAUGGUGGGGGUUGGAAAGUUUCGGCGGUUGGGGAUGGACUCGCGGCUUAUCAGCUUGUUGGUGGGGUAGUGGCUUACCAAGGCUUUGACGGGUAGCCGGCCUGAGAGGGUGACCGGCCACAUUGGGACUGAGAUACGGCCCAGACUCCUACGGGAGGCAGCAGUGGGGAAUAUUGCACAAUGGGCGGAAGCCUGAUGCAGCAACGCCGCGUGCGGGAUGACGGCCUUCGGGUUGUAAACCGCUUUCGCCUGUGACGAAGCGUGAGUGACGGUAAUGGGUAAAGAAGCACCGGCUAACUACGUG
rnacentral:rRNA from 1 species